rnacentral:rRNA from 1 species
UACGUAGGGUGCAGGCGUUAAUCGGAAUUACUGGGCGUAAAGCGUGCGCAGGCGGUUUCUUAAGUCAGAUGUGAAAGCCCCGGGCUUAACCUGGGAACUGCGUUUGAAACUGGGAGACUCGAGUGUGGCAGAGGGGGGUGGAAUUCCACGUGUAGCAGUGAAAUGCGUAGAUAUGUGGAGGAACACCGAUGGCGAAGGCAGCCCCCUGGGCUAACACUGACGCUCAUGCACGAAAGCGUGGGGAGCAAACAGG